UUACUUCGGAAAUCACUGGGCGUAAAGGGUGGCGUAGGCUGGCUUCUAAGUUCAGAUGUGAAAUCCAAUGGCUCAACCAUUGAACUGCAUUUGAAACUGGGAGCCUAGAGUUCAGAAGGGGCAGAUGGAAUUAGUGGUGUAGGGGUAAAAUCCGUAGAUAUCACUAGGAAUAUCAAAAGCGAAGGCGAUCUGCUGGGAUGAUACUGACGCUGAGGCACGAAAGCGUGGGGAGCAAACAGGAUUAGAUACCCUGGUAGUCCACGCCCUAAACGAUGAAUGCUAGUCGUCGGGGAGCUCGUCUCUUCGGUGAUGCACUUAACAGAUUAAGCAUUCCGCCUGGGGAGCACGGUCGCAAGAUUAAAACUCAAAGGAAUAGACGGGGACCCGCACAAGUGGUGGAGCAUGUGGUUUAAUUCGAAGAUACACGAAGAACCUUACCUGGCCUUGACAUGGUAGGAACCCUUAAGAGAUUAGGGGGUGCUAGCUUGCUAGAACCUACACACAGGUGCUGCACGGCUGUCGUCAGCUCGUGUCGUGAGAUGUUGGGUUAAGUCCCGCAACGAGCGCAACCCUCGUCCUUAGUUGCUAACAGUUUGGCUGAGCACUCUAGGGAGACUGCCUUCGUAAGGAGGAGGAAGGUGAGGACGACGUCAAGUCAUCAUGGCCCUUACGGCCAGGGCUACACACGUGCUACAAUGGGGCGUACAGAGAGCUGCAAUACCGCGAGGUGGAGCCAAUCUCUUAAAGCGUCUCUCAGUUCGGAUUGUUCUCUGCAACUCGAGAACAUGAAGCUGGAAUCACUAGUAAUCGCAGAUCAGCUAUGCUGCGGUGAAUACGUUCCCGGGUCUUGUACUCACCGCCCGUCACACCAUGGGAGUUGAUUUCACCCGAAAUCGGGAUGCCAAACUGGCUACCGCUUACGGUGGAAUUAGCGACUGGGGUGAAGUCGUAACAAGGUAACC
rnacentral:rRNA from 1 species